rnacentral:rRNA from 1 species
UACGUAGGGCGCGAGCGUUGUCCGGAAUUAUUGGGCGUAAAGAGCUCGUAGGCGGCUGGUUGCGUCUGCUGUGAAAUCCCGGGGCUUAACCCCGGGCGUGCAGUGGAUACGGACAGACUAGAGGUAGGUAGGGGAGAAUGGAAUUCCCGGUGUAGCGGUGGAAAUGCGCAGAUAUCGGGAGGAACACCGGUAGCGAAGGCGGUUCUCUGGGCCUUACCUGACGCUGAGGAGCGAAAGCGUGGGGAGCGAACAGG